GCAUUCUCCAACCUAAUGGUGACAUUGUUUAUAUAAAUUUUGAUCCCGUUACACAUGAGUUAGCUGAGAAAGAGAAGGAAAUGGCGGAAGCUAAGGGAAAAGUUGAAACUCCAAAAGAGUCACCCUAUAAAUGUCCAAUAUGUAUGGAUCCUAUUGAGGAGGCAGUGGCCACAAAGUGUGGCCAUAUUUUUUGCAAGUUUUGCAUUAAAAAAGCAAUAAGAUCAACACAAGGUACUUGUCCCACAUGUAGGGAAACGGUUACUCCGAGACAACUAAGAAGGGUGUUUCUUCCAUCUCCCAAAUAAAGGGUUAUCAAAGCUUUGGUGACGACAAUUUUGGACUAGAUAAUAAUUUAUUUUGAUACUUUGGAU